CUAUCAAGCCGCCCCAAGCGCUCACUAAGCUCUGCCGCCAGCCGACCUCCUACGACCGUCGGCUGCUCCCCGAAUCCCUUCCAGACUUCUUCCAGCCAGGUUCAACUCCAAUCCGAACUACUUCGGAUCUCGCCAACGGUCGAACUUCAGCAACGACAGAUUUCUACAACUACCAGACUCCGUCCGGACUCCUACGGGAGCCGGACUUCGUCCCCAACCUCAGCUACAGGAAGACUCCGUCCGGACUCCUACGGGAACCGAACUUCAUCCCCAACCUCAGCUAUAGGAAGACUCCGUCCGGACUCCUACGGGAGCCGGACUUCAUUCCCAACCCAGCUAUAGGAAGACUCCAUCCGAACUCCUACGGGAGCCGAACUUCAUCCCCAACCUCAACUACAGGAAGACUCCGUCCGGACUCCUACGGGAGCCGGACUUCGUCCCCAACCUUAGCUACAGGAAGACUCCAUCCGGAUUCCUAUGGGAGCCGGACCCAACCUCAACUACAGGAAGACUACGUCUGGACUCCUACGGGAGCCGGACUUCGUCCCCAACCUCAACUACAGGAAGACUCCGUCCGGACUCCUACGAGAGCCGGACUUCAUCCCCAACCUCAACAGCUGGAAGACUCCAACCAGACUCCUACGGGAGCCGGACCCCGCCCGGACUUCAUCCCCAACCUCAGCUACAGGAAGACUCCAUCCAGACUCCUACGGGAGCCAGACUUCAUCCCCAACCUCAACUACAGGAAGACUCUGUCCGGACUCCUACGGGAGCCGGACUUCAUCCCAAACCUUAGCUAUAGGAAGACUUCGUCCGGACUCCUACGGGAGCUGGACUUCGUCCCCAACCUCAGCUACAGGAAGACUCCGUCCGGACUCCUACGAGAGCCGGACUUCGUCCCCAACCUCAGCUACAGGAAGACUCCAUCCGGACUCCUACGGGAGCCGGACUUCAUCCCCAACCUCAACUACUGGAAGACUCCGUCCAGACUCCUACGAGAGCCGGACCCUGCCCGAACUUCAUCCCCAACCUCAGCUACAGGAAGACUCCGUCCGAACUCCUACGGGAGCCGGACUUCGUCCCCAACCUCAGCUAUAAGAAGACUCCGUCCGGACUCCUACGGGAGCCAGACUUCAUCCCCAACCUCAACUGCUGGAAGACUCCGUCCGGACUCUUACGGGAGCCGGACCUCAUCCUCGUC
rnacentral:lncRNA from 1 species